rnacentral:rRNA from 1 species
AGAGUUUGAUCAUGGCUCAGAACGAACGCUGGCGGCAUGCCUAACACAUGCAAGUCGAACGAGACCUUCGGGUCUAGUGGCGCACGGGUGCGUAACGCGUGGGAAUCUGCCCUUGGGUUCGGGAUAACAGUUGGAAACGACUGCUAAUACCGGAUGAUGACUUCGGUCCAAAGAUUUAUCGCCCAGGGAUGAGCCCGCGUAGGAUUAGCUUGUUGGUGAGGUAAGAGCUCACCAAGGCGACGAUCCUUAGCUGGUCUGAGAGGAUGAUCAGCCACACUGGGACUGAGACACGGCCCAGACUCCUACGGGAGGCAGCAGUGGGGAAUAUUGGACAAUGGGCGAAAGCCUGAUCCAGCAAUGCCGCGUGAGUGAUGAAGGCCUUAGGGUUGUAAAGCUCUUUUACCCGGGAUGAUAAUGACAGUACCGGGAGAAUAAGCCCCGGCUAACUCCGUGCCAGCAGCCGCGGUAAUACGGAGGGGGCUAGCGUUGUUCGGAAUUACUGGGCGUAAAGCGUACGUAGGCGGCUUUGUAAGUUAGAGGUGAAAGCCCAGAGCUCAACUCUGGAAUUGCCCUUAAGACUGCAUCGCUUGAAUCGUGGAGAGGUUAGUGGAAUUCCGAGUGUAGAGGUGAAAUUCGUAGGUAUUCGGAAGAACACCAGUGGCGAAGGCGACUAACUGGACACGUAUUGACGCUGAGGUACGAAAGCGUGGGGAGCAAACAGGAUUAGAUACCCUAGUAGUCC